CUUUAGCUAAAUAUACUAAGCGAACGCUUUCAAAAGUCAAGAGAUAUCGAAAACAGCUGCAGCCGUAUCCGUGCGAUUUACUAAUUUAUAGAUGCCUGGCAGGCGGCGACCAGGCCACAAAAGGUGCGCAUAGUCCUGACAUAGUUGGCCCCAUCACAAAACUUUGCACGCCGCCAACUUUAACUUCAGCUUGUGGUCUAUAAAUUACAAUAUGAGCCAUCGCUUGUCUGUACUGCGGUGUCCCUAUAGGUGUGUGUGUGUGUGCGCGCAAUAAAACGCCAUGAAAAUUAAAUAAA